GAUGGACAUUGCAAAGAGUGGCGAACGGGUGAGUAACACGUGGGAAACCUACCUCUUAGCAGGGGAUAACAUUUGGAAACAGAUGCUAAUACCGUAUAACAAUGACAACCGCAUGGUUGUUAUUUAAAAGAUGGUUCUGCUAUCACUAAGAGAUGGUCCCGCGGUGCAUUAGCUAGUUGGUAAGGUAAUGGCUUACCAAGGCGAUGAUGCAUAGCCGAGUUGAGAGACUGAUCGGCCACAAUGGGACUGAGACACGGCCCAUACUCCUACGGGAGGCAGCAGUAGGGAAUCUUCCACAAUGGGCGAAAGCCUGAUGGAGCAACGCCGCGUGUGUGAUGAAGGGUUUCGGCUCGUAAAACACUGUUGUAAGAGAAGAAUGACAUUGAGAGUAACUGUUCAAUGUGUGACGGUAUCUUACCAGAAAGGAACGGCUAAAUACGUGCCAGCAGCCGCGGUAAUACGUAUGUUCCAAGCGUUAUCCGGAUUUAUUGGGCGUAAAGCGAGCGCAGACGGUUAUUUAAGUCUGAAGUGAAAGCCCUCAGCUCAAC
rnacentral:rRNA from 1 species